rnacentral:lncRNA from 1 species
CGUUGUAUUCAUCCCUCGUCAUGUCUAGUGCAAACUGGAAACAUUGGGAGAAGCGCCCCGCGGCUCAGUGAAAGGAGCCGGGCGUGCGUGUGUUGUUUUACUCCCAUCCCCACCCCACCGGAAGAACCGCUUACCUCGAAGUCUUCGUCGGUGAGAUAGAUCUCAAGCUUCAGAGGAUCGACCCCCUCCGGGAGUGGCCUGGCCAGGAGGUCGGCCAGCGGGCCUGCACAACAGUAAAUGGCCCCGCUGCUAACCCCCAAGAUCUAUAGUGAAUACACAGGGAGGAUGGUGAGUUAUAUCCUUCUGAAAGUGGCUCAACUGUGCCACAGAACUGAUGUUUAUGAUUUCUUUGGAAUAAACGUCGAAAUUAACUCUCCUAGUCUUGAAAUUCGAGAAAGUUAUAUUUGUCUUAUCUGAGUUCCUUUCUCAGGAAACCAACCAUCAGGCAUCUCCAAUAGUAUCAAAAAGCCAGCAGUGGCUCAUGCUUGUAAUCCCAGCACUUUGAGAGGCUGAGGUGGGCAGAUGGCUUGAGCUCAGGAGUUCAAGACCAGACUGAGAGACAUGGCAAAACCUCAUUGAAAAUACAAAACAAAUUAGCCAGGCAUUAUGGUGUGUGCUUGUAGUCCCAGCUACCUGGGAGGCUGAUGUGGGAGGAUUGUCUGAGCCUGGAG